rnacentral:rRNA from 1 species
UAAGUAGAGUGUUCGGAGUUGGGGUAAAGCGACGGGGGAAGGGUCGUAGAUAUCGUCGUAUGGAGUUCACAAGGUAGAAGAGGUCGAGUGUAGGUAGCGAACAGUAUGGUAGUCUUUACCGGUGAAUGCGACCUCCUCCGUUAUGGCUCCUCUUGUUAGUCUGACAAGAUUCGUGUAAUGGGUUCCUUGACGGCAACCUGAAGAACUCCUGAUAGUGUCUAGUCAAGAGUCUGGUCGCGUAAGAACCAUGCCCACGUAAACCUUGCCAAAUGUGCCCUCAAUACGGUCUAUCGGUUUCCUAACGGCACUUCUUCGAACGCCUCUCACGUGGCCAACGUGCGCUGUUUCGUAAAUGGUUACUCCAAGUUUUAUAGUACCGAGAGGUGGUAUUCUUACACCAUUUCAACCAACCCAUGACGGUACUUCCUGUUUUCUUCCAACAAGUUUUGUUACCUUCUAUAUAACAACGUCUACAAAUACUUUCGGAUGAGACGAUGCUUAUAAAUGGAUACCCUUCGGAAGUCUCCUUGGAAAAACGCCUAUGUAUCGGGGUCUUAUGGAUAUGUCUCCACUUUAGAGUCGAGUCAGUUUGUAUAUAUCAAAUCCGGAUAAUUAGUAGCUCUGAUGGUGGCCGCUCUUCUUAUUGGGGUUUGUCUUACUUGGCAGUCGUUCCCUCAAAUAACUUUCUCAUGCAUCUUUAACCUGUCUUCCUGUGUAUCGCAGGUCUAUGAGUUUCAACUUACGUUUACCGGAGGUCCUUCAUUUCCAUACGUAACUUUAACCAGAUCUAACACACGCGUAACUAGCCUUCUCGUCUGGGAGUUAGCUCUCGUAACAAGCCUCCGAGCUACCUGCAACACGUUCGUUUUCCCGUUUGGUCAAGAGGUGAUGAAGGUACGCUCGUAUUUGACCCUAGAAGUAGCUGCUUUCUUCCCGUUGUACAUUUCUUUCUCGAAGGAGACAAUAAUGAUCUUACUUAAAUAAAGUUUUUAUUACAACUCACAGUAGCACCUUGAACAAUUAAAUAAUACCGUUGAAGAUAAGAUCAUAGAGAACAUAGUUUCUAAAAUAUGAGGUUUACGUCACAACAACGAAGACAAAUCACGCCAAACUUUAUUCUUAAACUUUAAAGAACUACGUUACAAUAACAGAGACAAGUAACAUGGUGGUUAGGG